rnacentral:misc_RNA from 1 species
UCGAUACCUGCCCGAGCAGACCGCGAACACGUUGUGCCCCAUGUGGAGCCCGACGUACGGGCGCUUGCCCCAUUCGUCUGGCCUCCAUCCCCUGCCAGUCCCUCGUGCGAGCGAGUGUGGCAGGCAGGGCAACCAACCCACGGCGCGGCUAGCGCCAAGGAUCACAAUUGUGGAACGCUGCCCCAAGCAUUUACCCGUUCGCGUGGUGUUGUGCUUGCGGCACGUGUCUCCCUGAAUUGAAUACAUUAAAGAAC